GAAUACAAAUCAAAGUUCAAACCCUCGGAGAACUCAGUCCCUGUCUCUCUCUGUCUCUCGAGUCUCGGCUCGAUCUCACCUCACCUCAGACAACCUCACCGUCACCACCCUCCUCGCCGAUUUCUCUUUCCUUCUUCGAUUCCGGCCACACCCACAUCACAAGUGACUCACCUCUCUGAGCUCUCUCUCAAAUCAGGCAUAUGGAGACUCCUCAUUCCAGGAUUGUAAGCGAGCAUCUGAAGCAGCUGUGACCAUAAUUAUCAAGAAUUUGCAGGUUUAUCCUUUUUUAUUUCUCUUUCUUUCCAUUUUAUAAUAUGGCGAGACUGGUUUUUCUCUCUACCCAUUCCUAACAAGAAACAAGUAGAUGUCUUAUCCUUACUUCCCUUGCAACGUUUCUCUGGGGGGUUCUUGUUAAGUUUCUGCAGUCGAGGUAGUGAUUUUUAGUUGGAUGGUGUCAUAGUUGUUAGUUUAUAUGUUUAGGGGCAUAUAAUAUAUAACUCCAUUUGCUUUAAUACAUGGAUAGGUGUUAUGCAGUUUUUGGUGGAAGUAUUGGCAUCAAUAUUGGUAAAGAAUUAUGCAGUAUGUUAGGAUUGUGCCUAUAUCUUGGACACAGGAUUAGUUUUAAGAUGUAAAAUUCAGGUACUGCCGUGUAAUCUCUUUUAAUGAAGGCCACUGCUUGAAACGUGUGGGAAACAUUCCCUUGGAUGAAUACAAUGUUUCAAUAAUAUGAUGCAUGUGUCGUCCUAAAAUAAGCUCUCCGAGCUCUUGGGAUUUUUGUGAGUCAUGUCAGUGAGAUGUUCAUGCCCAUGAGUAAGCUGUAUCCUAUUAGAUGAAGUAAAAUUUAUGAAUCAAGGCAUGUCAUUUUUCACUA